AGUUUUUAUUGGAAAAUAAACCUGACGAGCAGAUCGUUGGUGGAUCUCAAGCAGCUAACUGUGAAUUUCCAUCUAUUGUCCAUCUCCAAAUAUUUAACCAACCCACAGAUAACAGGAUUAGUGUAUGUGGAGGUACUUUGGUUGAUUCUACACAUGUAUUGACAGCAGCUCACAGUCUAUAAG